rfam:Oryza rufipogon genomic scaffold, chr07
UUUAAGUGCAGCCAUAAGUUUCCGUAUCCAAUUUUAAUUAUUUGUUUAUUUAAAAAAUUUAUAAUUAGUAUUUUUAUCAUUAUUAGAUGAUAAAACAUAAAUAAUACUUUAUGCGUGACUUAUGUUUUUAAUUUUUUCUAAAAACCUUUUUAAAUAAGACGUACAAUCAAAGUUUGGCAUGAAAAAUUAUAGCAACACUUAAA